CAUUAAAUGGCUGAAAGUAAGCAAUGGAAUUUUAAACCAUAAUAUAGUAGAUUAACAACUACUUUUAAUG
rnacentral:tRNA from 1 species